UACGUAGGGUGCAAGCGUUAAUCGGAAUUACUGGGCGUAAAGCGUGCGCAGGCGGUGAUGUAAGACCGAUGUGAAAUCCCCGGGCUUAACCUGGGAACUGCAUUGGUGACUGCAUUGCUAGAGUAUGGCAGAGGGGGGUGGAAUUCCACGUGUAGCAGUGAAAUGCGUAGAGAUGCGGAGGAACACCGAUGGCGAAGGCAGCCCCCUGGGCUGACACUGACGCUCAGGCACGAAAGCGUGGGGAGCAAACAGG
rnacentral:rRNA from 1 species